CCAGCAACUAGGAGGAAUGUAUGGCAAUAGCUAGUUUGCAAGAUCGAUCGAAUAAAAUUCUAGAUAGAAUUAUGAUAAUGACAUUAUCUAUCUAUGUGUCUUGACCAAAUUACGUGCCAGCAGUCGCGGUAAUACGUAAAAGACUAGUGUUAUUCAUCUUUAAUAGGUUUAAAGGGUACUUAGACGGUAAAUCAAGCCACUAAUAUACUAGAGUUUGAUAUAAGGAAGUUUUAAAGUACUGUUGGUGUAGAGAUGAAAUUCUGUCAUACCAUAUGGCACAGGUUUAAGCGAAAGCAUCUUCUUAUGUAAUAACUGACGUUGAAGGACGAAGGCUUUGUGUCUCGAACAGGAUUAGAUACCCUAGUAGUCUAAGCAGAAAAUGAUGAAUGUCAUAGAUUAGUUUAUUCUAUAAAUGAAAGUGUAAGCAUUCCACCUCAAGAGUAAUUUGGCAACAUUGGAACUGAAAUCAUUAGACCGUUUCUGAAACCAGUAGUGAAGUAUGUUGUUUAAUUAGAUGACGCGCAAAAAACCUUACCACAAUUUGAAUAUUUAUAUAAGCGCUGCACGGUUGUCUUCAGUUAAUGUCGUGAGAUUUUGGUUAGUUCCAUUAAAUUAACGUAAACCCUUACUUUAUUUAUUGAUAAAGUAGCUCACCGCUAUAUUGGAUAUGAUAAAAGGGACUAAGACAAGUCAUCAUGGCCUUAAUAUUGUGGGCUAUAGACGUGCCACAUAUGCCACAAAGGGAUGCGAAAUUGUGAAAUUGAGCUAAU
rnacentral:rRNA from 1 species